AGAUUGAACACUGGCGGCAGGCCUAACACAUGCAAGUCGAGCGGCAGCACGGGUACUUGUACCUGGUGGCGAGCGGCGGACGGGUGAGUAAUGCCUAGGAAUCUGCCUGAUAGUGGGGGAUAACGUUCGGAAACGGACGCUAAUACCGCAUACGUCCUACGGGAGAAAGUGGGGGAUCUUCGGACCUCACGCUAUCAGAUGAGCCUAGGUCGGAUUAGCUAGUUGGUAGGUAAAGGCCUACCAAGGCUACCGAUCCGUAACUGGUCUGAGAGGAUGAUCAGUCACACUGGAACUGAGACACGGUCCAGACUCCUACGGGAGCAGCAGG
rnacentral:rRNA from 1 species